UACGGAGGGGGCUAGCGUUGUUCGGAAUUACUGGGCGUAAAGCGCACGUAGGCGGACUGUUAAGUCGGGGGUGAAAUCCUGGGGCUCAACCUCAGAAUUGCCUCCGAUACUGGCAGUCUCGAGUGCGGGAGAGGUGAGUGGAAUUCCCAGUGAUAGAGGUGAAAUUCGUAGAUAUUGGGAAGAACACCAGUGGCGAAGGCGGCUCACUG
rnacentral:rRNA from 1 species